rnacentral:rRNA from 1 species
AUUGAACGCUAGCGGCAGGCCUAACACAUGCAAGUCGAGCGAGCGGCGGACGGGUGAGUAAUGUAUGGGGACUGCCCGAUAGAGGGGGAUAACUACUGGAAACGGUAGCUAAUACCGCAUACUAUCGGAUAACCCAUAUGGGAUUAGCUAGUAGGUGAGGUAAUGGCUCACCUAGGCGACGAUCCCUAGCUGGUCUGAGAGGAUGAUCAGCCACACUGGGACUGAGACACGGCCCAGACUCCUACGGAGUCAGCAGUGGGGAAGAUUGCACAAUGGGGGCCAGCCCGACUCAGUCAUGCCGCGUGUCUGAAGAAGGCCCUAGGGCUGUAAAGUACUCUCGCCCGGGCGGCGUUACCGACAGAUGAAGUACCGGCUAACUCCGUGCCAGCCGCCGCGGUAAUAC